rnacentral:rRNA from 1 species
GACAGAGGGUGCAAACGUUGUUCGGAGUUACUGGGCGUAAAGCGCACGCAGGCGGUCUUGUCAGUCUGUAGGGACAGGGCACAGCUCAACUGUGUCAGGCUUACGGAAACUGCAAGACUUGAGGGCUUCAGAGGGAUGGGGAAUUCCGGGUGGAGUGGUGAAAUGCGUAGAGAUCCGGAAGAACACCAAAGGCGAAGGCACCAUCCUGGGGAGUCACUGACGCUCGGGUGCGAAAGCUAGGGGAGCGAACGGG